rnacentral:rRNA from 1 species
CCUACGGGUGGCUGCAGUCGAGAAUCAUUCACAAUGGGGGAAACCCUGAUGGUGCGACGCCGCGUGGGGGAAUGAAGGUCUUCGGAUUGUAAACCCCUGUCAUGUGGGAGCAAAUUAAAAAGAUAGUACCACAAUAGGAAGAGACGUCUAACUCUGUGCCAGCAGCCGCGGUAAUACAGAGGUCUCAAGCGUUGUUCGGAAUCACUGGGCGUAAGGCGUGCGUAGGCUGUUUCGUAAGUCGUGUGUGAAAGGCGCGGGCUCAACCCGCGGACGGCACAUGAUACUGCUAGACUAGAGUAAUGGAGGGGGAACCGGAAUUCUCGGUGUAGCAGUGAAAUGCGUAGAUAUCGAGAGGAACACUAGUGGCGAAGGCGGGUUCCUGGACAUAAACUGACGCUGAGGCACGAAGGCCAGGGGAGCGAAAGGGAUUAGAUACCCUUGUAGUC